CAGUAGCCGCGGUAAUACGGAGGGAGCUAGCGUUGUUCGGAAUUACUGGGCGUAAAGCGCACGUAGGCGGCUUUGUAAGUCAGAGGUGAAAGCCUGGAGCUCAACUCCAGAACUGCCUUUGAGACUGCAUCGCUUGAAUCCAGGAGAGGUGAGUGGAAUUCCGAGUGUAGAGGUGAAAUUCGUAGAUAUUCGGAAGAACACCAGUGGCGAAGGUGGCUCACUGGACUGGUAUUGACGCUGAGGUGCGAAAGCGUGGGGAGCAAACAGGAUUAGAUACCCCUGUAGUCCCUGUCUCUUAUAC
rnacentral:rRNA from 1 species